rnacentral:lncRNA from 1 species
AAAGUAUACAGUGAAGAAAAUAACAUCAAAAUAUAUAACAUAGGUUUGUAUAAAAGGUUUGGAUUAAUGCCUUUAAUAUGGUUUGAUUUAUAUAUUGUUCUUGAGAUAUUAUGCAGUGCUAUGUGAAAUUUAGUCGUUGAGAUCUUAUCUCUCUAAAAUUUGUGUUAUAGAUUAUUGCUAGCUAUUAAGUUUUAUAGGUUGAUAUCUUCUUUUUAUCAUGUAAAA